rnacentral:misc_RNA from 1 species
GAUGAAGAACGUAGCGAAAUGCGAUAAGUAAUGUGAAUUGCAGAAUUCAGUGAAUCAUCGAAUCUUUGAACGCAUCUUGCGCUCCUUGGUAUUCCGGGGGGCAUGCCUGUUCGAGCGUCAUUUCACCACUCAAGCCUCGCUUGGUAUUGGGCAACGCGGUCCGCCGCGUGCCUCAAAUCGACCGGCUGGGUCUUCUGUCCCCUAAGCGUUGUGGAAACUAUUCGCUAAAGGGUGUUCGGGAGGCUACGCCGUAAAACAACCCCAUUUCUAAGGUUGACCUCGGAUCAGGUAGGGAUACCCGCUGAACUUAAGCAUAUCAAUAAGCGGAGGA